rnacentral:rRNA from 1 species
UACGUAGGGGGCAAGCGUUGUCCGGAAUCAUUGGGCGUAAAGAGCGUGUAGGCGGACUGGAAGGUCUGGUGUGAAAGCCCGGGGCUCAACCCCGGAGGGUCACUGGAAACCAACAGUCUUGAGUCCGGAAGAGGAGAGUGGAAUUCCUGGUGUAGCGGUGGAAUGCGCAGAUAUCAGGAGGAACACCAAUGGCGAAGGCAGCUCUCUGGUACGUGACUGACGCUGAGACGCGAAAGCGUGGGGAGCGAACAGG